rnacentral:rRNA from 1 species
CCUUAGAUGUUCUGGGCCGCACGCGCGCUACACUGAUGGAUUCAACAAGUUUACUAUUUUAUAGUUGUCCUUGGUCGGAAGGCCUGGGUAAUCUUUUAAAUGUCUAUCGUGAUGGGGCUAGAUUUUUGCAAUUAUUAAUCUCUAACGAGGAAUUCCUAGUAAGCGCAAGUCAUCAGCUUGCGUUGAUUACGUCCCUGCCCUUUGUACACACCGCCCGUCG